rnacentral:lncRNA from 1 species
UGUUGGCCAGGCUGGUCUCGAACUCCUGACCUCAAAUGAUCUGCCACCUCAGCCUCCCAAAGUGCUGGGAUUAUAGGCAUGGGGCACUGCAUCCUGCCCAGAUGUGAUUAACUUCUAACCCCUGGUAUCUUUGCAUGUGACUUUAUUUGGAAAUAAGGUGGGUUUUUUUCUUGUUUUUUUUUUUUUUUUUGAGACAGUUUCACUUUGUCGCUCAGGCUGGAGUUCAGUUGCAUAAUCUCAGCUCACUGAAACCUCUGCCUCCGAGGCUCAAGCGAUCCUCCCGCCUCAGUCUCCCGAGUCACUGGGACUACGGGCAAGCGCCACCACACCCGGCUAAUUGUUGCAGUUUUUGUAGAGAUGGGGUUUUGCCAUGUUGCCCAGGCGGUCUCCAAUUGCCACCCUCAAGCAAUUCAUCCGCCUCGGCCUCCCAGAGUGCUGGAAUUAUAGGUGUGAGCCAUGGCGCCCGGCCAGAAAGUCUUUGCAGAUUUAGUUGAAUUAAUGACUAAAUGUUUCCAUGCUGAGUUAGAGUGGGCUCUAAAUCCAAUGAUUGAUAUGGGGUUAUAAGGAGAGAUAUUUGGAGACAUAGCCACAGUCCCAGGGAAGGUGGACAUUGGAAGACAGAGGUAGGGAUUAGAGUGAUGCAGCUACAAGCCAAGGAAUGGCAAAGAUUGCUGGCAGUCCCUCAGAAGCAAAGGAGAGGCAAGGAAGGGUUCUUCCCCUGAGACUUUUUUUUUUUUUUUUGAGACGGAGUCUCACUGCUGUCAGCCUCAGCUGGAGUGCAAUGGCGCGAUCUCGGCUCACUGCAACCUCUGCCUCCCAGGUUCCAGCAAUUCUCCUGCCUCAGCCUCCCGAGUAACUGAGAUUACAGGCACCCGCCACCAUGCCUGGCUAGUUUUUGCAUUUUUAGUAGAGAUGGGAUUUCACCCUGUUGGCCAGGCUGGUCUCGAACUCCUGACCUCAGGUGAUCCACCCGCCUCGGCCUCCCAAAGUGCUGGGAUUACAGGUGUCAGCCCCGGAGACUUUAAAAGCAUGGCUCUUCCCCUGACGCUUUAAAAGCGUGGCUCUUCCCGUGAGACUUCAACACCUUGGUUUUGGACAUUUAGCAUUCAGAACUGUGAGAGAACAAGUUUCUAGUGUGUGUGUGUGUGUGUGUGUGUGUGUGUGUGUGUGUGUGUGUGUGUAUGUGUUUUAGACAGAGGCUCAUUCUGUUGCCCAGGCUGGAGUGCAGUGGUUCAAUCUCGGCUCACUGCAAACUCCGCUUCUCAGAUUCAAGUGAUUCUUAUGCCUCAGCCUCCCAAGUAGCUGGAAUUACAGAGGAGCGCCAUCACAGCCGGCUAUUUUUUUUUUUUUUUUUUGUACUUUUAGUAGAGACAGGGUUUCACUGUGUUGGCCAGGCUGGUCUCAAAUUCCUGGCCUCAAGUGAUAUGCCUGCCUUGGCCUCCCAAAGUGCUGGGAUUACAGGUGUAAGCCACCACACCUGGCCUAAGUUUCUGUGUGUGUGUGUGUGUGUUUUGUUUUGUUUUUUUUUUUUUUUUGAGUGGAGUCUCGC